rnacentral:rRNA from 1 species
UACGGAGGGUGCGAGCGUUGUCCGGAAUCACUGGGCGUAAAGGGCGCGUAGGCGGCAUGCCAAGCGUGUGGUGAAAGCCCGGGGCUCAACCCCGGGUCGGCCGUGCGGACUGGCGUGCUCGAGCACUGUAGGGGCGGGUGGAAUUCCGGGUGGAGCGGUGGAAUGCGUAGAGAUCCGGAAGAACACCGGUGGCGAAGGCGGCCCGCUGGGCAGGAAGACACCGCAAGGUGUCGGCUGACGCUGAGGCGCGACAGCGUGGGGAGCAAACAGG